rnacentral:rRNA from 1 species
GUCUUUUUGAUUAUAAUUUAAAGUCUAACCUGCCCAAUGAGGAGUUGAAUGGCCGCGGUAAUUUGACCGUGCAAAGGUAGCAUAAUCAUUAGUUUUUUAAUUGAAAGCUGGAAUGAACGGUUGGACGAGAAAAUAACUGUCUCAAUUUAAUUGAAUAUAGAAUUUUAUUUAUAAGUAAAAAAGCUUAUAUGAUUUUAAAAGACGAGAAGACCCUAUAGAAUUUUAUAUUUUAUUAUAUUGAUUAGGGUUAGAAUGUUUAUAUUUUUAAUAUAGUAAAAUAUUUUGCUGGGGCAGCAGAAAAAUUGAAUGAACUUUUUUUAUUAUUAUAACAUUGAUUUAUGGUUUAAUGAUCCAUUAUUUAUGAUUACAAGAUUAAAUUACCUUAGGGAUAACAGCGUAAUUUUUUUCUAGAGUUCUUAUCGAAAAAAGAGUUUGCGACCUCGAUGUUGGAUUAAAAUUAACUUUUGGUGCAGGGGCUAAAAGGUUAGGUCUGUUCGACCUUUAAAAUUUUACA